UCCCUAGUGGCUCAGACGGUAAAGCAUCUGUUUGCAAUGCAGGAGACCUGAGUUUGAUCCCUGGAUUGGGAA
rfam:TPA: Bos taurus chromosome 1, whole genome shotgun sequence.